rnacentral:rRNA from 1 species
AGAGUUUGAUCAUGGCUCAGAAUCAACGCCGGCGGCGUGCCUCAGACAUGCAAGUCGAACGCGAAAGUCCCCUUCGGGGGACAAGUAGAGUGGCGCACGGGUGAGUAACACGUAGGUAAUCUACCUUUGGAUGGGGAAUAACAACCGGAAACGGUUGCUAAUACCGCAUGAUGCAGCGGCACCUAAUGGUGACAGUUGUUAAAGCGGGGGAUCGCAAGACCUCGCGUCUGAAGAGGAGCCUGCGGCGGAUUAGCUAGUUGGUAAGGUAAUGGCUUACCAAGGCUACGAUCCGUAACCGGCCUGAGAGGGCGGUCGGUCACACUGACACUGACAUACGGGUCAGACUCCUACGGGAGGCAGCAGUCGGGAAUUUUGGGCAAUGGGCGAAAGCCUGACCCAGCAACGCCGCGUGAAGGAUGAAGCUUUUCGGAGUGUAAACUUCAUAAGAAUGGGACGAAUAAGGAGGGGUUAACACCCCCUUUGAUGACGGUACCAUUUGUAAGCUCCGGCUAACUCCGUGCCAGCAGCGGCGGUAAUUC